rnacentral:rRNA from 1 species
GGAAUCUUCCACAAUGGGCGCAAGCCUGAUGGAGCAACACCGCGUGAGUGAAGAAGGUCUUCGGAUUGUAAAGCACUUUAAGUUGGGAGGAAGGGCAGUAAGUUAAUACAUUGCUGUCUUGACGUUACCGACAGAAUAAGCACCGGCUAACUUCGUGCCAGCAGCCGCGGUAAUACGAAGGGUGCAAGCGUUAAUCGGAAUUACUGGGCGUAAAGCGCGCGUAGGUGGUUCGUUAAGUUGGAUGUGAAAGCCCCGGGCUCAACCUGGGAACUGCAUCCAAAACUGGCGAGCUAGAGUAUGGCAGAGGGUGGUGGAAUUUCCUGUGUAGCGGUGAAAUGCGUAGAUAUAGGAAGGAACACCAGUGGCGAAGGCGACCACCUGGGCUAAUACUGACACUGAGGUGCGAAAGCGUGGGGAGCAAACAGG